ANGCGGNGNCCUAUCAUGCAAGUCGAGCGGACCGACGGGAGCUUGCUCCCUUAGGUCAGCGGCGGACGGGUGAGUAACACGUGGGUAACCUGCCUGUAAGACUGGGAUAACUCCGGGAAACCGGGGCUAAUACCGGAUGCUUGAUUGAACCGCAUGGUUCAAUCAUAAAAGGUGGCUUUUAGCUACCACUUNCAGAUGGACCCGCGGCGCAUUAGCUAGUUGGUGAGGUAACGGCUCACCAAGGCGACGAUGCGUAGCCGACCUGAGAGGGUGAUCGGCCACACUGGGACUGAGACACGGCCCAGACUCCUACGGGAGGCAGCAGUAGGGAAUCUUCCGCAAUGGACGAAAGUCUGACGGAGCAACGCCGCGUGAGUGAUGAAGGUUUUCGGAUCGUAAAACUCUGUUGUUAGGGAAGAACAAGUACCGUUCGAAUAGGGCGGUACCUUGACGGUACCUAACCAGAAAGCCACGGCUAACUACGUGCCAGCAGCCGCGGUAAUACGUAGGUGGCAAGCGUUGUCCGGAAUUAUUGGGCGUAAAGCGCGCGCAGGCGGUUUCUUAAGUCUGAUGUGAAAGCCCCCGGCUCAACCGGGGAGGGUCAUUGGAAACUGGGGAACUUGAGUGCAGAAGAGGAGAGUGGAAUUCCACGUGUAGCGGUGAAAUGCGUAGAGAUGUGGAGGAACACCAGUGGCGAAGGCGACUCUCUGGUCUGUAACUGACGCUGAGGCGCGAAAGCGUGGGGAGCGAACAGGAUUAGAUACCCUGGUAGUCCACGCCGUAAACGAUGAGUGCUAAGUGUUAGAGGGUUUCCGCCCUUUAGUGCUGCAGCAAACGCAUUAAGCACUCCGCCUGGGGGAGUACGGUCGCAAGACUGAAACUCAAAGGAAUUGACGGGGGCCCGCACAAGCGGUGGAACAUGUGGUUUAAUUCGAAGCAACGCGAAGAACCUUACCAGGUCUUGACAUCCUCUGACAACCCUAGAGAUAGGGCUUCCCCUUCGGGGGCAAAAUGACAGGUGGUGCAUGGUUGUCGUCAGCUCGUGUCGUGAGAUGUUGGGUUAAGUCCCGCAACGAGCGCAACCCUUGAUCUUAGUUGCCAGCAUUCAGUUGGGCACUCUAAGGUGACUGCCGGUGACAAACCGGAGGAAGGUGGGGAUGACGUCAAAUCAUCAUGCCCCUUAUGACCUGGGCUACACACGUGCUACAAUGGGCAGAACAAAGGGCAGCGAAGCCGCGAGGCUAAGCCAAUCCCACAAAUCUGUUCUCAGUUCGGAUCGCAGUCUGCAACUCGACUGCGUGAAGCUGGAAUCGCUAGUAAUCGCGGAUCAGCAUGCCGCGGUGAAUACGUUCCCGGGCCUUGUACACACCGCCCGUCACACCACGAGAGUUUGUAACACCCGAAGUCGGUGAGGUAACCUUUUGAGCCAGCCGCCAAG
rnacentral:rRNA from 1 species